rnacentral:lncRNA from 1 species
CUCUGCCUAUAAAGAUAACACAAAAAGGCUGGAAAAGAGGGCAGCCGCGCAGAGAACCAAAUACCCGCCCCAUUGUUCUCCACCAUCUUUAGCAUCUUCAAAACUUGAACACCAAAAACAACACACACCCAUAUAAACGCACACACAACUAAACCAACCAGAAAAUCUGGGCAUGAAAAUUGAUUGAAGAAAAGUUGGUUUAGGUUCUAAUUCCAGUUGCUGAUUGUUAGAUUUUUGUUGCUGCUAUGAUUGGUUGAGACGCGGCUGAGUCGAAGCUGUUUUGUUUCCAGUUCGAGUUCCAUCUAGAGGUCAUCGGAUUGAGUGCUUUUAUUUUCCAUGUAAGAAAAUUGUUAUGGGAGAUCUGAAAGUCUGUUCGAGUCAAGGAUGUUGUUUGAGUUGCUGGACCGCUAGUUCUGUUUCUUCACUGAAAUUCCACAUUGGAAAUUCUUGAUUAUUGUGAAAGGAAAAUUUUCUCAUUAAGGUAUGUUUUUCUUGAUUUUCAUUCUAUUCUCAUCUCGUCACAGUAGCUUGAAGAGUGUUUGGCAUAACUUGUGAUUUUCUUUAUUUUAUUUUUAACUAGCAUAUCUUAACUUUCGUUAGGUACCUUUAAUUAGUUUAUCUAUUUUGUGAUGUAUAUGACCUUUGUUCUUGGAUGAAUGUAUUAUAAUGGUUCGAUAAAUUAACUUAGCAAGUUAGUGGUUAGUGCUAGAAUAUUUAAUAAGCUAAUGGAAUUUAUUUGUUAAAUAAUAAGGAUACUUCCAUACUUCCAUCAUUCACAUUGGGGAGUUAGGGAAGAAAGGUAGCUAAUGUUAUGAGUAUACACUGACUUGGAUGCAUGUUUUUUUUUUUGCAAUUCACUAUGCAGGCGCCUAGGGUUAGAUUUCAUUAAUAAUUGAAAAGAAAAUUAUAACAAUUAGGAGAAGUAAAAUAAGGGAUAGCAACGAUGUUGUUACCCAUAUAACACAACCGGCGUAACCGUACCUUACUAAUCCUAUUGAGGCAAAUAAAAAGCCUCACCUACUAGCAAGCAUGUAAAAAGAAAGAACUAGCAAGAACUAAGAACAGUAUGAUCAUCAUAGAGUUUAUAACGUACUCUGUAAUGAUAUUACAUAUUAUAAGACUAAUGUGAUGGUAAAAUAAGAGGAUGAAAAAACUACGUUGAUGCUCUCUUUUCUCUAAAUUUGUGAAUACUUCCAUUUGUAGAUUGUUGUCUUUGCCCACAGAUUUAAAAGUCUUCAAAAUUCAUGUUUUUUCUUUAAGCGAUUGGAAUUUGUAGAUAUUGUUUGAGUGACCUGUUUUUGUUUUGCAUUUCUCAUUGGGGGCCUCCUUAUGUUUGCGUCUUCAAUCACCAUGGUGUCCCAACUUCUAUCACUUGCAGGAGACUUCUUACUUCUUUCACUAUGCAUUAGUGACAAAUUACCUUUUCUUGAAGCGUCUAAAUCCCUUGCACGAGACUUGUUACUUCUUUCACUAUGCAUUGGUGACAAAUCACCUUUUCUUGAAGCCUCUGCCUGACAUUGCUUUAAUAUAUCAUCUUCCUCCCCUUCUUUAUAUAUAUGUCUACCUGUAAAUAUUGAAUUUGGCAUCUCUUGAAAAUCGCUUUAUGUUAUCAAUGAUUUUUCAGCUUGUACCUUACCUAUAACUGCCUUGUUUUGUCAUUGUUUUGCGAUUUGUUCCUGCUCAUGUUCCCACAACCUGUACUGGAAUUAUCAUGAUUUAAAGCGUUUAGUGGAUCUGUACUUUGCAUCGCAUCCAAGAGUUGUCUUUCUUCUAAAGAGAUUACUGGAGCAGUUGUUACGAUGUAGUGCUGCCCCGCCUGUGAACAUGCUACUGUGUUGCAAUCAGCGGAAGGAGCGUUAGUUGGUGUAGUUGCAUCCCUUUGCUGAUUCUGUAUAAUAUGACUCGUAACCAACGGUUGCCUCAUUCCAUCGACAAGUUUCCUCUCCUCGAAAUUAAUGGGUGGCUCAGUUGUUACAAGCUGAUUCUGCGCAGUUUUUGGCAGCACUGUUGUGUUUCGAUCAGCAGCUGCUGUUUCAGCUGAGUGUUGGUUUAGUUGGACGUUAUAUCCUGUUGCAUUUUGGUCGAAAUUUGGUGUUACUGCAUUUGAAAUUACUGCUUUUGCAGUAUUUCUUGGAACAAAAACUGGAGCGUUAUGGUUCAACUUACUGUUGGGACUUGCUGCAUUUGUCGCAGUAGCAUGACAAUUCAGAUUGGUCGUUUGAAAUGUUGUAGGUUUCCCUUGAAAUUUUUGUUUGAUUGGAGCAUCAAUGUCCUCUCCUUCACUAUCCUGAUCAACUUCUUGGUCGUCUCUUCAGAUGAAAAACCAGCAACUCCGUCACCUCAGACCUCAUCAUCAUCAAACUCUCAUUGGUCUUUCCACAGUUUCGAGUUAAUGACCAUCUCCCUCAUCUUAGCUUGAAUUAUUUCUUUGUUUUUGCCAAUUGAUAUUGACGGUUGCCCAUAUUCAGCUCCAUGCUCGCCUAUUGACUCACAAGAUUGAGUCAAUGUGACCAAUGAUUGCUUGAACAUAUGGUUGGCAUCGGACAUCAUUUUAAUCUGUGAAUCAUUGAUAAUUUUCUCCACAUGUGGACUGGAGAAAUGAGUCGAGGGAGCAUUUUGAUCCUUGGCCUACAUUUGCCUAUUUGGAUCAUUAACAGGAUCCUUAUCCAAUGCCGCUGUAUUCGAUGAGCUAUUUUGAUAAUAACUGUCUACCAUCUGCAGAUUCUCUCUAGUGAACUUCUCAUCAUCUUCAUUCUCAUUGCCAAGUGCAGCAAAUGAGUUUGGAUUUUUUGUUACACCUGGACACUUUUCUGCAAUCUGAUGUUUUUUUUUUUGCUUAUUGGAGUUCUUUUUUUGUUGGAAACAGAUGUCAAAUUAUCCUUAACAAUAUGUUGUCCAGCUUCCCUUGUGUGUUGUCUAGCAUGAGAAGGUUUUGAUCUCUCAAAUUCAGCCCCCUCUAAAGCAAGCUCACCUUGUACUAAGGCAACAUUAGAGACAUCUGUAGCAGCUGUACCUAUAGACAUAGUCACACUAUGUUGUUUUUGAACUAUAUCGAGCUCACCUUGUACUAAGGCAGCAUUAGAGACAUCUGUAGCAGCUGUACCUAUAGACAUAGUCAUACUGUGUUGUUUUUGAACUAUAUCUGGCUUUGCUGUUCUUUGAAGCAGUUUAAUCACAUCAUCCUUGUUAUCACUCCCAGUUACAUCUCGAUCCUCAGGACAGAUAGGAACUGCAACAGCUGGCUUUGUAUCUACUAUGCAGAUGGUAUUCCUGUUACCCUUUGUUAAUGAUGCUGCAAGCUCCAAUUCCAUAACAUCACAGUGAUCUCUCACCUCUUCAUUUUUCCCAGUCCAUUUAAAGCCAUCAAAUGAUAUUACAUUUUCCUCCCCUACUACUAGUUGCUGCACAUUGUUGGCAGUAACCAGAGUUGAUGACUUAUUCAAUUCAUUACUUCCUUGUUGUCCAAGAAUUUUUUAGGCAUGAAGCAGCUUUGGCAGUGUUGACUUCUCCACUGGUUCAACUGAUACAACAGUUGGUUCCUGCACAAAGAGGUCUAUCAAAAACUGGUGUGUCCUUAUUGCAUUUUCACCUGUUGUUACACCUGAUGCAGCAGUAGGUUUCAAAUUUGACACCAUCAUAUCUGACUGUUUUUCAGUUAAAACAUUCAUAGGAACAUGCAAUGGAACAAUAGUUGGCCCUUUACAAAGCUAUGCAACAUCAGCAUUUGGUAUUGAAAGAGGUGCAGCAGCUGGAACAAUUGAAAAAGACAAAUUUGUUUAUCCUGCAUUUACCUCCCCUGCUACUAGGUGCUGCACAUUGUACUUGUAAUGCUGUCCGUUACAUAUUUCAGUUAUAUUGGAAGGAUUGGCAGUAACCAGAGUUGAUAACUUAUUCAAUUCAUUACAUCCUUGUUGUCCAGGUAUUUUGAAGCAUGAAGCAGAUUUGGCAGUGUUGACUUCUCCACUGGUUCAACUGAUACAACAGUUGGAUCUGUAGAAGCUUUCAAAGUACCAGAAGCCUCCAAGUUUGUACCAUUUCCCUGACCAAACCAUGCACUUUUUUGAUUCCUAUUAUUUUGCAAUAAGUGCUGCUGCUCGAUGAAUUUAUCCUGCAGAGGUCUAUCAACAACUGGUCUGUCCUUUUUGCAUUUUCACUUGCUGUUACACCUGAUGCAGCAGUAGGUUCCAAAUUUGACACCAUCAUAUUUGACUGUUUUUCAGUUAAAACAUUCAUAGGAACAUGCAAAGGAUCAGUAGUUGGCCCUUUACAAAGCUGUGCAACAUCAACAUUUGGCAUAGAAAGAGCUGCAGCGGCUUGAACAAUUGAACAAGAGAAAUUUGUUUGUCCUGCAUCAUCAAUCACAUUAGGUAGUACCCCUUCAAUUCGACGUCCUGCAAGAUUAGCAUCCAAGUACUCCCUAGCGUCACCUCCUAAUUUAGCCAAACUGCCCCGGCCUUCAGGUUCGUCAACGUGAACGUGUUCUUUAUUAAAUUCCUGUGUACUCCAACGACACGAUUUAACAUCAUGACCUUGAUGAUUGCAACACGUGCAGUAUUUAGGUAGAUUAUCAAACAUGAUCUGCUGGUCGUAUUCAACUAUUUUUCCAGAUUUCAUAUCUACUAUCUUGAUCUUGAUUUUCUUUGGAUGUUUGUCCAGUAGAUUAAUCAAGACUUUAACUCGUGCCGUACUUGGUCGUGUUCGAUCUUGAGUAGCCUUAUCUACUGCCAGAGGCUUUCCCACAGCAGAUGCGAUGGACAUUAACGACUUUUUUGCGAAGAAAUUUGCUGGCACUUCAGGAAACAAAAUCCGAGUCACAGCUUUUGACGUUUCUUCAUGGGGGUUAAAUCCCAAUGUCCAUAGGAAUGUCCUAAAGAAGAACUCGUCUCCUUUUGCCUUAACAUAGCCAGUUGUUUUUGAUAACGCAUGAGCAAAAUCUUCAAAUAGAUCGAAUCUUACCAGAAUAUGCCGAUAUUCUAGCUGUCCAAUGUUGCAAUUACCUUUGACGUCGAAUUGUUUCGGCAAAAUCUGUCUCAGCUCCUGAAGUUCUGGCUUUCCAUAUGAAAAUUUAAUUAUAACUGCUUGUUGAAGACCUUCCUCCCUAGUGAAUGAAUUCACUUCAUUUACUAUGAACUCAAAAGUAGGUAUCCCAUGCUCAAACGUAACGGGACAAAGUUCUAUUUUUGAGAAUUUUGCGACAGAUUGUUGUCCAGCAAGUUGCGAUGCAUAUGUUUGUUUUGGAUCGUGAUUAAUUUGGUUUUCUAUAUUGUUAUGAAAAACCUCUCCCACAGCCAGAGGCUGGGGAGAGGGCAUAGCAUCCAUGGUUGCGUUCUACUUCAAACACAUUCCAUCAUAUCCACGCUAUGAAAGAGCAAAAUCGCUGGAAAAUUUCGAAGAAGCUGUAUGACAGUGAUUCGUCGAAAUUAGAUUUAAGAUGUAGGGAAAUUGGUUAUAGAUUUGAGGUAAAAAUCAAUUGGGAUUGGUCACAAAGAUAAGGGGAUGCUGUGACACCAAAAGUGUGACAAUCCACCGCCAGAUUCCGGAUAUAUGCCCGAUGAAUAGUGGCGGAAUCACUAUUCACCCUUCUUCCUAGAGAGAAGGGAGAGAUUUUUUUUAGAGAGAGAUUAGAUUGUUUAAAUGGAUACUUGGAUGCAUGUUGACUUUGUACGAGAGUUUAAAUUGGUUUAGAGGUGUUUUUGGUAUUGGUUUGAACAAUGAAUUUGAAUUGGAUGAGGUUAAGAAAAAUUUAAAAGGAUCUUUUGGUUAUAUGUUUAGUAGCUACAUUGAACGUGAUAGGAAAUUUAGGAACUCCCUUAAUUAAUUGAUUAAAUUGAGUUGUGCCAUUUAGUUGAAUUUUCCGUGGCCCUCACAAAUUAGAAAAUACGCAAUUGUCUUAGGUGCGCUAGUUAAAUAAUUUACCUUUUUAAAUUUGGGUGCACAUUUAUGUGACCCAAAUCCAAAUUCCAACAAUAUUAAAAUAUGUCAAAGACCACGGGUGCAUUUAUGUAAUGUGGUUCAAGACGUAUUUUAAUAGUGUUCCAAUUUUCUCUAAAAAAUGAAUUAAAGCGGUUAAAAAGUCAAAAUUUGCACAUAGGUACAUAACUGUAAAAAAUCUAAGCCGAAUAUAACAGUUGAGCGAUCGUGCUAGAACCACGAAACUCGGGAAUGCCUAACACCUUCUUCCGGUUUAACAAAAUUUCUUACUCGGAUUUCUAGCUCACAGACUGUAUUACAGAGUCAAACCUUCCUCGAUUCGGGAUUUUAAACCGGUGAUUUGGGACACCAUUAAUUAUUCCAAGUGGCGACUCUGAAUUCUCUAAAUAAAUAAAUCCAGUUUUGAUGUCACUUUAAGUUAGAAAUAACUCCCUUAUACUACCAUUCGUUGGGUGUGGUGUAAUAAAGAGGUGUGACGUAGAGUCUCACAUAUCAGUACAGAGACGUAUGUAUUUAUCCUCGGGAGGGUGCAGGACUGUUAAGGGUACUUCCCUUCUUGAUUCCUUAUCGUGCGAUUUGAUUCCCGUGAGGCUUAUGCCUUUAAUUCCUUCCUACUCAAUCUUAUGCGACAUAAAGCGCUUGUUAUAAAUCAAGAAUUGAAGAAUUGUAAUGGCACUACGAAUAUGGUGCGGGCGUUUCUCCUUGUGGGUUAUUUGAGCCAUUAUCGUCGCCUUGUGGAAGGAUAUUCUAUUGUUUCGGCUCAGUAGCAAUACUUUUGAGAGCCUUGAGGCUAGGCACAAGUUGCCAUGAUGCUUAUGAGAAAUUAUUUCGCAGUAUUAUUAUGAUGGUAGGAUGAUUGCCUGCCUGUCGAGGCGUUGAAUGACUUGAAUGGGAGGUUUGCUCAGUGCAUAAUCUAGAGAUUCGGUGUUUUAUUCCCGGCAGGGGAAAGGCAAUCAGGCAGAGAAUGUACAGGUUUGGGUUUAUGAGGUAUCAAGACUCGGUAUUCGCUAGUGUGGUGGAAGUUUUCUUGUAUAAUAAGGUGUCGUUGUCCCUAUUGAAUGCACUAAAUUCGUCGGUGUUAUGAUCUUCUACGAUUCGCCUUCGGAGCAGAAUAUUGCAUGUCAAUAUUGAAGAAACGCCUAUUAGAUAUCGCGAGGCAAGGUGGUUCCGGGUUGAAUUAGCAUUUAUAAUAUUGGCAGCUCGAGAGAAAUGAUCUCCAGCAAAAUUUAAAGUUAGUAGCGAUUUGUGGAUUCAAGUGCUAUGAAGAUAGAUUUUAUUGAGGCAACAAUUGAGUAGCAAAUGAUGAGGGAAGAUGUGUGGAAAGUGUAAGACAAUGGCUAAAAUUCCUAGAAGGCUAGGUGUAUGAAGCAAAGGUCAAGUAGUUGAUUAACGAAGCGAGUUUGGCCAAAGUGGGAGAGUGGCAGAGCUGCAUAUGGGCUUCGUAGUAGGAUGAUCACGUACCUUAAGGAGAGUUCGGAGGGAUUUGAGAAUAUUAACUGAUUGGUGAUUGGGGUCUACGGAUUUAUAUCGAAGUAUAGGCUAUUAUGAGGCAGGAGACUUGGUAUAACAGAAAGGAGAUGAUUGAAAUGAAGAAGGAUACAACGUAACUUUGAAUAGGAAGGAUGCUGCCGCACAUUUAAUUGAUGUCCACAACGGGUGAAAGGACUUAUGCAGCUAGAAGGAUUAACUCGGAUUGAGGAUGGGUUAUUGAUGUCAUGGUGAUUGUACCCUGUGCAGCAACGAUGGAAGAUGUCGGAAGGUGAUUUCCAUAGGUGGGUUAUUCCCUGUGAGCAAGUUAGCUGUCACAUACUUGGUGAGGCUUCUACGAAGAAUUCUAAUGGUUAUAAAGCGAAGGAAUCGAUCAUGCAAAUGUUAUUGAUGAUUCAGAGUAUAAAAAAGGGAUUUCCACAGCAAGAUAUCAAGGAUUUUGGGUACAACGUGUAGUGAUUGAUAUGGUGAUCUUAUGUUGGAAAUAGGUCAGGCGUAGAAUUUCGGAUGUUAGAAUUGGGCUUUAACUUCAAAAUUGAUCAAGCUGAUGUGCUCAACUAAGUUGUGGUAGCAUGGGAAGGUGUUUGAGAAGUUAAAUAGUGAUUUCAAACUACUUCCGUAUAGUUCUCAGCACGUUCGAGGACGAACUUAUGUUUAAGUGAGAGAGAAUGUAAUGACCCGACAGGUCAUUUUGAGCUCUAGCAUGUCGUUUAGCAGUCAGAGGCCAUGAACAACUUUAUUUCAGGUAUUAUGACUUGUACGCAUGGUCGGAAUUAAGUUUCAGGAAGUCCAGAGUUGAUUUGAAAAGAGAAUUCUCAUUUAGGAACCUUAAAGUUGAAAGAAUUAAUUAGGAUUAAAAUUUUAAGUAAAUGAACUCGGAAUUGGGAUCUGAAGGUUCCAGCAGGUUCAUACGAUUAUCUCGGACUUGGGCGUAUGCCCGGAUUGAGGUUUGGACAACCCUGGAGUGUUUUGGCGCCUAUUGUGGAAAGUAGCAUUUUGAAAGAAAUUUCAUAAGUUUGGGUUGAAGUGCAUUUCAGUGAUAUCGAUGUCCGUUUGGGAUACUGAGUCUGAGAGAAGCUCCGUAUUGUAAUUCUAGAGUUAGGAGCGCGAUCGGAAAUGAAUUCUGAGGUCCGUAGGUCAUUUUGGAGCCAUUUGGCCAAAGAUAUAAAUUUAAAAGUUUUUAAGAAGUUUGACAGAAGUGGACUUUUUGAUAUUGGGGUCGAAUGUUGGAGUAGGAUCGUAUUGUUGAAUAUGACUUGUGUGCAAAAUUUGAGGUCAAUCGGACGUAAUUUGAUAGGUUUAAACAUCAAAAAUAGAAGUUUGAAAUUCUAAUGUUCAUAAAGAUUGGAUUGGAGGUCGAUUUGUGGUUUUAGCGUUUUUUGAUAUGAUUUGAUAGAAGUUAGAAAUUUCAAAGUUCAUUAAGCUUGGAUUAGGGGUUGAUUUAUGAUUUUAGCAUUGUUUGGUGUGAUUUGAGGCUUUGAGCGAGUCCGUGUUAUGUUUUUGGACUUGUGCGGGUGUUUGGUUUGAAGCCCCAAGUGCUCGGGUGUGGUUUAGGAUAGCUUUGGAGUGAUUUGCUAAGAAAUAAGAUUGCUGGUGCUGGUAUGAUCGCAUUUGUGAUUCUUGGGUUGCAAAUGCAACAUCGCAUUUGCGAGCCUGGGCUCUACGGGAAAAGGUCGCAAUUGCGAUGUAUUGGUCGCAAAUGCGAGAAAGCAUUUGUAAGAUCUUGUUCGCAUUUACGAACCUGGGUGGCUGAGGGGUCGUUUGCGUUUGCGACAUUUUGGAUUGCUUUUGCGAGGCCUAAAGGGUUCGUAUUUGAGAAACCCUUAUCGUAUUUGUUACGUAGUCCAAUUCGGUCGGGGUUCGCAUUUGCGAAUUCGCAUUUGCGAUCCCCCUGUUGCAAAUGCGACAUCUGAGGGUUGUGUCCAGUUAUUAAGUCUGAAACGUAGCCCAUUUCCCUCAUUUCCCACUUGGCCUUAGACAAUUUUUGAGAGCAUUUGAGGAGAGAUUCCGUCAUCAUCAAAGAGGCAAGUAAUUUCUACGCAUCUUAAGUUAAAUACAUAGAUUAUGGGUAAAUUAACAUGCAAAAAAUUAAGGAAAAUGAAGGGGUUUAGAUGAAAACCUAGAAAAUAGAUGUUAUUGGCAUUUGACCACGAUUUUAGGUAUGAAAUUUAGAGUAGAUCAUAUAUUUGAGCUCGUGAGGUUAUGAGUAAACUUAUUCUUCAAAAUUUUUGGAAAUCCAGGCAUGUGGGCCCGAGGGUGUUUUCGUCAACUUUUCGAUUGCGGUUAUGAAUUGUUGUGUGUUGGGUUGUAUUGAAUAAUUAAUGGGUUAUAUAACUAUUGGCUAGUUUUGGAGCAUUCUUGCAUUUAUUUGAGUCUUCGAAAGGGCGUGGAAUGCCGGUUACGGAAUUUUGGAGCGAGGUGAGUCUCCUUUCUAACCAUGUAAGAGGGAAUUGUCCCCAUAGGUGAGCUAAUUGGUUAUGUGCUCCUAUAUACGUAUGCACGAGGUGACGAGAGUCCAUGCGUAGCUACUAUUAUGCUAUUGUACGGGUAGUCUAGGAUCCAAAAUCAUGCUAUACUUGGAUUGUUUGUAAACUUAUCGACAUUUGAAUUGCUUAAAUCACCUCGAGUUAGUAAAUGAAUUUCCACAAAAGAUUAAACUUCAUUUUCAAAAAUCUUUAUAAAAGAAUUGGCUUAUCUGUGGAAAAUUUUCCUUGUUGACUACUUGAUUGAUCGUCUGUGUGUGUUUAAUUUUGGAACGGGCCGAACGCCUCAGAAGAUUUAAUAGAUGCAUCUAUAGGCACGUCGUCGACCCUCCGAAAGUGCACAGUUUUAUUUUCUGUUGGAGCGGGCUGUACGCCUCGGCAUGAUUUGCGCAUGCUUGUAUUGCUGCUUUGAACUUAUUAAAGUUGUUAUUGCCUCUUCAUGGCUUGAGAAUAUUUGGAUAAUAAAGAAAGGGAAAUUUUGGAAGCCAUUGGAGCCGGCGCCGCCGUGGACGGCGGAGCAGCCGCUCCUUUGGAAUAAUGAAAAAAGAGAUUCUGGAAAUUUUCUAUAAAAGGGAAUAAUUGGUUACUUGUUUUUCUUCUAUUUGGUAAAAAUCAUGUUUGCAGAAAUUCACGAUUUAAUGUAUUAUUGAUAUCAUUAUUGGACCACUAGUAAGUGUUGAAGUUGACCAUCUCGUCUCUACUUCUUCGAUAUUAGACGGGAUACUCAUUCAGUACAUGUUGUUUUCGUACUCAUACUACACUUCUGUGCAUUUUUGUUGCACAUGUAUAUGUAACUCUAGCGGCCAACUAGGCGUAGCAGCAUGGAUGAUUCUGGGACUAGGUGAGUUGCAUUAUCCGAGACAGCCGUAGCUAGUACAGUCCCUUCAAGUAUACUGCAUUUACCUUUUGUCCAAUGUAUUCUGAACAGAUGUUGUAUUUUAUUUCCUUAUUAGUAGAUGCUCAUGCACUUGUGACACCGGGUUCUGGGAGG